rnacentral:tRNA from 1 species
CGUUCGAGCUCAGUUGGUAGAGCAGUUGACUUUUAAUCAAUUGGUCGCAGGUUCGAAUCCUGCACGACCCACCA